GGUAUGCAGUUGUUACUGGAGCAAACAAAGGCAUAGGAUUGGAAACUGUCAGGCAGUUGGCCUCAAAGGGGUUCACCGUAGUCUUAACUGCCCGAGAUGAGAAGAGGGGUCUUGAAGCUGUUGAGAAACUCAAAGAGUCUGGCCUCUCUGGUCAAGUGGUUUUUCAUCAACUUGAUGUAGCUAACCCUGCUACUGUUGCUUCCUUGGCAAACUUCAUCAAAAUCCAGUUUGGGAAACUCGAUAUCUUGGUAUAUAUAUGAUCAUAGCUGCAGGUUUCUUCAAAAAAGUUUCUGUCUUUUGAAUCCAACUCGUAAUCCAAAUGCGAUUUAGUGGAAGGAGAAGAAAUAUGGCAUUGGAGAAUAAAAACGGCAAACCAAGUAAUACUAGCUUAAUAAUAUCAUCAAGAAGUUAAUCUUUGAAAUAAUUAGAAGUCCUAGGCUUUUUGAAGAACAAAACAAGUUUCACAUAACUACCAGUUGUGGAAGGUUUUACUUUCAAAUCUAACUCUAUGUCUGCCACUCUGUUUUUGUUUCUUGGAAUCUUUUCAUAUAUGAUAUAAUCCCUUUCUGUACAAUUUACAAGUACCCUAGUAAGAUCAGUGGCUGGAGUUGAGGGGUUUGGCAAAGUAGCAUAAUUAUUGUGCUUCUUUAAAGGGAUUGGCCUUUAUGGUUGGUAAUAGUAUGGUUGUAACAACAAAGAGAUUGUCAGAGUAAUCAGAUAGUGAAACAGACAGUGAAACAGUAUGGUUGUAUCAACUUUCUUUUCAUUUCAUUUUCUAUAAAAACAUGUCUGUUCUUUUCUUUGCUAAAAGAAAACAGAUAGUGAAACAGUUGGACUCUGCACAGGUGAACAAUGCAGGGAUUGGUGGAAGUAUAGUAGAUGGUGAUGCUUUAAAAGCUGCUGUAGCCUCUGGUGCCAUGGUAAGUUUUUUGCAUAAUUUUUAUCAAUAGCUAUCAAAAACUAAAAGCUUCAAUGAAUGUGACAAAGUUAGAAUAUAAACUGAUCUGUGGUUUGGCAAACUUUAAUCAACAUUUUUCUUGUUUUGGGUGGGUGUGUAAGUGGUGGGCAAUAGGCACCUUAAUAAUAAGUUUGCUUUUACUGAUACAGGAAAGAGGAGAAGUUGAUUUGAGUAAACUAAUGACUGAAACUUAUGAGUUAACAGAAGAAUGCUUGCAAAUAAACUAUUAUGGUGCUAAAAGAACAGCUGAAGCACUUAUCCCACUCCUCCAGUUAUCUGACUCACCGAGAAUUGUUAAUGUUUCAUCUUCCAUGGGGAAGUUGGAGAAGAUACCAAGCCAUCGGGCUAGAAGAGUUUUUACUGAUGCUGAAAACCUAACAGAAGAGAGAGUAGAUGAGGUACUGACCGAGCUUCUAAAAGACUUCAAGGAGGGUUCACUUGAAAGGAAGGGCUGGCCUUCUUCUAUGUCUGCCUCUACAGUCUCAAAAGCAGCACUGAACGCAUAUACAAGAAUUCUAGCAAAGAAGUACCUCAAUUUUCGUAUCAAUUCAGUCUGCCCGGGCUUUGUCAAAACAGAUAUAAACUACAAUGUCGGUGUCCUACCUGUCGAAGAAGGGGCUGCAAGGGUUAUGAAGUUAGCAUUGCUGCCCAAUGAUGGCCCUACUGGCUCCUUCUUUGUUCACAAUGAAGUGUCGGAUCUUUGAUUGAAGAAGAUCCAUAUAUGCAAAUUUAAUACGAUUCGCUUAUUGGGCAACAUCUUGUACUGUAAUGUAAUUUUAAGUAUUUUGGACACCAACAGAUCCUUUUGACGUUCUUUCUACAUUCAAUAAGAGGAUGGCAUAUAUGAUGUUUUAUCUAUGUAAAAUUUCACCAUAGCACACUGUUUAAAUAACAAAAGAAAGGGUCAGGUGUUUCUGGCCUAACCGGAAGCUCCGAGCUGGCUUGAUAACCUUCCCCUUUGGUUUUAGAGAAAGACUUAGCUGUCCUAGGGUGACUACUCCUCUUUCUUUCCUGUAGCAUCUUGUGAUGCAUGCAAGUUUCUUGCGUUUUGAGAAGAGAGACAACGCUGCCAAAUAAAGGCUAAAAGAGUAUUGAGUAAGGCAGUCGCAUCUGAAAUCACAUACACAAGGAGUUUUUUUUCUUUUAGAAAUGGAAUUCAUUCAUAGAAUCAAAGUAGCGUAUAUAGAACGACACAAAACAGUGACCUAGUUAAAACAUUGUUUAGGGAUAAAUUUUAGGGUAGGAAAGAGUACCACAUAUAUCAUUGACUAACAAGAGAGUCUAAAACAAUCACGCAUGACCAAUGCUAGAGCAAGAUAAAAUAAAACAACAAAUUGACACAUAGACCUCCGACGAGAACACUAUAACAUAGUCCAAUUGCCAAAAGAGUCAUACUAUGAAAUUAUAGUCCUUUUGAAGCAACGAGAUAUAGGGAUAGGGAGAUCGAACGAUAACCUUACAAUUAACAAUGUCGGAAUCCACCAACAAACUAAUUCACCAGAGAGUAAAUCUCAAAUAUAUUGAUUGAAAAUGAGAUGAAUAAACUGACAAACACAAUGCCAUGAGUUGGCUUAAAUAGAAAACGAAGAAACCCUAAAACAGUAGGAAACCCUAUGUUCUAGUAUAUUCCUAAACUUACCUAACAAGAAAAUAAUAAAAAUCAUAGCUAAAAUCAUAAUAACAAAAUAAUAUCCUAAUAGAUAACUUAUUCUUCCAAAUAUAAAAUAAAACAUUAAAUUAAAUACAAUCUUGACAGAAUCAUAAUUGCUUCAAACUUCCUUAAUCAAUUAGAAAAUCCCAACGAUACGCCUUGCUUCUUUUCCUACAUUUAAUUGGAAUUUUCCUCUCUUGCAUGAUUUUCUUCCAACUUUGAGCCACUCCACUUUAUUUUAAUUAAUUUUUCACACUUCGUCCUACAUCACCAUUGCACAGCCACAAGACAUUGAGAGCACCCGAUAGAGAACACAAUACACCAAGAAGAAAGAAAACAUCCACUAAGCACACCAUCUCUAACCAACUCCAAUUGCAAUUGGUGAUGAAAGAAGAGAAAUAUGUAAGGAACAACACAAAGAAGAAACUAACCACACAAACAGGCCAGGAAAGAAAAUAAAAUAAAAAAAGCCCUCAAGCACGCUGUAUCAUCUCAACACUGACAAAGAAACCUCCUAUAAAAGCAUAGUCCUAGUGACAGGCGGAGAAUCAAAGAUCAAUUAAGAAGAGAACGAAGAAAACACCACGCAACAAUAACAAAAUUGGUCUAGCCAUUUAACAUGAAUACAGGGAUCAAGCACAAGAGCAUUCGCCAGAUGUCAAGCCCACGAAUGCUCCAAGAACACAUUAAGGAAGACUCCCAAGAGAUUCCAAAAACAAUAUCAUUAAUAUUGCAAACAAGCUAACUUUUCUUUUUUCAAAUUUACCCUUAUUAAAUAUUUUUAUUCAAAAAUUUUACAACUUUUUUAUUACUCUCUCCCACUAUCACAUUCUCUCUCUCACACACCCAGACCCAUCUUCAUAACCCACCACUCCACCCAGACCCAUCCUCACACUUGGACUCCAUUUAUUAAGCAAAUUGACACCUUCGCUUUGGCAAAGUCAACAAAUGAAACUUCACAUGCACCUCUUGAGUCUUAAUUGAGAAUCCUAACACGAUUUGUGAGCCUGCUCGUUUUGCAGAAAAAAAAUUUCCAGCUCCCUCCCCUUAACCCAAAUUCAAAACCAUUUGGAAGACUCCCACCGUCGCUUUUCCCCCUUCUCCAUCAUCCCUGCACUUAUACCUCACCAACCCUCCCUGCAAUUUCUCACCACACCCACCCCCACCCCCACCCCUUUCCCCAAUCUCUAUGUACAUCCUCCCUGAAAUUUGGGUUUCUGCAAAAGAACAAAAAAAAAAAAAAAAAAAAAAAAAAGAUGACAAAAUCAUCGUAUUCAUAUUUUUGUGGAUAGACGUGUGAAGGAGGUAUUGUAAAAUAAAUAAAUAAAGAUCAAACAUGGGUGGGGUGGAAAAUGAAUGUGGCUGUUGGGUUUUCAUCGGCGGGGGAGGAGUCGAGGUUGUGGUGGGAAAAUGAAAUUAAUGGCUGGGGUGGGAGGUGGGGGUGGCUGCGCAGGUGGGAGGAGAGAUGAGUUGUGGGUGUUGACUGCUGGGUUUUCCCAGAGGAGGGGGCCAGGGCGAGUUGGGGUGGGGAUCGGGUGAUUGAAAAACCCCUUUUUUUAUUGUUUAUUAUUUUUUUUUAAAAAAAAGGGUAAAUACGGAAAUACAAUUAAUGUUCUUUUGUGUAAUUAAAUUAUUAGUUUAAGUGAGAGGGAAGUGACAUGUGUCGUGAGUAAAAGAACGAAAAUUCAAAAGAGAAAGUUAGAAAAAAGAUGCUAGCAUUCCCCAUCCUUAAACACAAAAAUCCAAACAAAUCCGAUUACUUCUUAUCAUUUAUUUGAAUACAGACCUUUAAAUUCAAAGGCUUUCCAGAAGAGAAGGCCUCUUCCUUCUGUUCAAAGGCUUCCCAUUUCGAAUAUAUCAAUGGCAGAAGCAACAAAGAGGUAGCACUUUAGAGUCCUUUCUGCUUUGGUUCCUUGUCACAUCUCCAUUCGCUCUAAUUGUUUCUGCUUACCAUUUUUGUGUUAUGAAUUUGGUGUUUUUGUUUUUCCAGGUAUGCAGUUGUUACUGGGGCAAACAAAGGCAUAGGAUUGGAAACUGUGAGGCAAUUGGCCUCAAAUGGAUUCACUGUAGUUUUAACUGCCAGAGAUGAGAAAAGGGGUCUUGAAGCUGCUGAGAAACUCAAAGAGUCUGGCCUCUCAGGUCAAGUGGUUUUUCAUCAACUUGAUGUGGCUAACCCAGCUACUGUUGCUUCCUUGGCAGACUUCAUCAAAACCCAGUUUGGGAAACUCGAUAUCUUGGUAAGUAUAUGAUCAUAGCUGCAGGUUUCUUGAAAAAGUUUAUGUCUCUUGAAUUGAACUCUUAAUCCGAACGCGAUUUAAUUGAAGGAGAUGAAAUAUGGAAUCAUAUAGCAAAUGAAAUUGGAGAAUAAAAAUAGCAAACCAAGUGUUAACUAGCUUAAUAAAUGUCAUCAAGAAGUUAAUCUUUGAAAUAAUUAGAAGUCUUAGGGUUUUUGAAGAACAAAAUAAGUUUCACAUAAACUACCAGUUGUGGAAGAUUUUACCUUCAAAUCUAACUCUAUGUCUGCCACUCUGUUUUUGUUUCUUGGAAUCUUUUCAUAUAUGAUAUGAUCCCUUUCUGUACAAUUUACAAGUACCUUAGAAAGAUCCGUGGCUGGAAUUAAGGGGUUUGGCAAAGUAGCAUAAUUAUUGUGCUUCUUUAAAGGCAUUGGCCUUUAUGGUUGGUAUGGUUGUAAAAACAAAGAGAUUGUCAGAGUACUCAGAGGAUCUAUCAACUUACUUUUCAUUUCAUUUUCUAUAAAAUAAAAAAAUCUGUUCUUUUCUUUACUAAAAGAAAACAGAAAGUGAAACAGUUGGACUCUGCACAGGUGAACAAUGCAGGGAUUUUUGGAAGCAUAUUAGAUGGUGAUGCUUUUAAAGCUGUAAUAGCCUCUGGUGCCGUGGUAAGUCUUUUGCAUAAUUUUUAUCAAUAGCUAUCAAAAACUAAAAGCUUCAAUGUAUGUGCCAAAGUGAGAAUUUAAACUGAUCUGUGGUUUGGCAAACUUUAAUAAACAUUUUUCUUGUUUGGGGUGUUGUGUAAGUGGUGGGCAAUAGGCAUCAUAAUAAUAAGUUUGCUUUUGUUGAUACAGGAAGGAGGAGAAGUUGAUUUGAGUAAACUAGUGACUGAAACGUAUGAGUUAACAGAAAAAUGCUUGCAAAUAAACUAUUAUGGUGCUAAAAGAACAGCUGAAGCACUUAUCCCACUCCUCCAGUUAUCUGACUCACCGAGAAUUGUUAAUGUUUCGUCUGGCUCGGGGAAGUUAAAGAAGAUACCAAGUGAUUGGGCUAAAGGAGUUUUUACUGAUGCCGAAAACCUAACAGAAGAGAGAGUAGAUAAGGUACUGACUGAGCUUCUAAAAGAUUUCAAGGAGGGUUCACUUGAAAGUAAGGGCUGGCCUUCUUCUAUGCCUGCCUAUAUAGUCUCAAAAGCAGCACUGAACGCAUAUACAAGGAUUCUAGGAAAGAAGUACCCCACUUUUCGUAUCAAUUCAGUCUGCCCUGGCUUUGUCAAAACAGAUAUAAACUUCAAUGCCGGCGUCUUGCCUGUCGAAGAGGGUGGUGCCAGGAUUGUAAAGUUAGCAUUGCUGCCCAAUGAUGGCCCUACUGGCUCCUUCUUUGUUCACGAUGAAGUGUCAGAUUUUUGAUUGAAGAUGAUCCAUUUAUGCAAAUUUAAUACGAGUCAUUUAUUGGGCAACAUUUGGUACUGUAAUGUAAUUUUAAGUAUUUUGGUAUGUAUAUUGAUUGAAGGAUCUAGUGCAUUGUUUACAUUUCUACUAUUCAUCUGGCUCUUGGACUCAUAUUAUCAUUUACAAUGUUAUUCAGUCAGAAAUUCUAUGUGAUCGAUGUCCGGUAUUAUCGAUAGUAUAUCAAUAACAUUUCGGUAUAUUUUGUUAGACUUAAGUUAGAGACAAUAAUAUUGACAGUCCAUCAUUUAAUUAAGGACGAAGUUUUGAGAAGAAUUGAUUAUUCAAUAUUAUCCAACUUAAAUUGUAAUAGCACAAUCGCAAACUUCUGCAGUCAAUUGUGUAAACGAAGGCAUAGGAUUGGAAACUGUCAGGCAGUUGGCCUCAAAAGGAUUCACUGUAGUCUUAACUGCCAGAGAUGAGAAGAGGGGUCUUGAAGUUGUUGGGAAACUCAAAGAGUCUGGCUCCUCAGGUCAAGUGAUUUUUCAUUAGCUUGAUGUGGCUAACCCAGUAACACAGGAGAAGGUUAAUGUUAAAUUGAGUGGCUGAUAUAUAUCAUGCUUAUUGUGUCCACUUCCAGUUGUGUACACGUACCAAGUACCCUAGAAAGAUCAGUGGCUGGAAUUAAGACCCACAUUCAGAGGACUCUCACCCUUAUUUAAGUGUGCUACCGGUGCGGCAGUUUUAUCGAAGAUUUUUUCCUAUCAAAAGGUGAAAGUUGUCACAAGUAAAUUAAUAUCCAUGUUUCUACUAGGAUAUAUUAGUCAAUUAGAAAUUUUCUGCGCAAGUUGAAAAGUCUUGCAUGCGAAACUGCUUGCCACUGCCACCACCAAAAUUCAACAACGUGAGCACUUGCGUCACCACUACCCCAUUAUUUUCCUUUAAAAUCUUCACAACAAAAUUCCAAACAAGUCUUGGUCCCUCUUUCACCACAAUAUCCAAUUACUGCUAGAAAACACUAGAAGCAUCCUCCCUCCAGUAUGUAAUAGGAACAACAGAACCAACAAUUUUCAUCUUCUUCUUAAUAUUUAUCUUAAUAUAAUCCCCAGAAUUCAAAGGCUUUUCAAGAACAUUUCACUAUAAAAGAGAAGAAGGCUGUUGCUGUUUAAUACACAUCUCAAUUUUCCCAGACCGUCCCGUUUCGAAUCUAUCAAUGGCAGAAGUAACAAAGAGGUAGCACUUUAAAGUACUGCUUUCAUAACAAUUUCUCACUAUUUUUGUGUUCUGAAUUUGGUGUUUUUUGUUUUCUCAGGUAUGCAAUUGUUACUGGAGCAAACAAAGGCGUAGGAUUGGAAACUGUCAGGCAGUUGGCCUCAAAUGGAUUUAUUGUAGUCUUGACUGCCAGAGAUGGCAAGAGGGGUCUUGAAGCUGUUGAGAAACUCAAAGAGUCUGGCCUCUCUGGUCAAGUGGUUUUUCAUCAACUUGAUGUAGCUAACCCUGCUAGUGUUGCUUCCUUGGCAGACUUCAUCAAAACCCAGUUUGGGAAACUGGAUAUCUUGGUAUGUAUAUGAUCAUAGCUGCAGGUUUCUUGAAAAAGUUUCUGUCUUUUGAAUCCAACUCUUAAUCCAAAUGCGAUUUUGUUGACGGAAUUGGAGAAUAAAAAUAGCAAACCAUCUACAUUUGUUUCUU
rnacentral:lncRNA from 1 species